rnacentral:rRNA from 1 species
UGCAAGUCUAGCGGUAGAGAGAAGCUUGCUUCUCUUGAGAGCGGCGGACGGGUGAGUAAUACCUAGGAAUCUGCCUGAUAGUGGGGGAUAACGUUCGGAAACGGACGCUAAUACCGCAUACGUCCUACGGGAGAAAGCGGGGGACCUUCGGGCCUUGCGCUAUCAGAUGAGCCUAGGUCGGAUUAGCUAGUUGGUGAGGUAAUGGCUCACCAAGGCUACGAUCCGUAACUAGUCUGAGAGGAUGAUCAGUCACACUGGAACUGAGUCACGGUCCAGACUCCUACGGGAGGCAGCAGUGGGGAAUAUUGGACAAUGGGCGAAAGCCUGAUCCAGCCAUGCCGCGUGUGUGAAGAAGGUCUUCGGAUUGUAAAGCACUUUAAGUUGGGAGGAAGGGCAGUAAAUUAAUACUUUGCUGUUUUGAUGUUACCGACAGAAUAAGCACCGGCUAACUCUGUGCCAGCAGCCGCGGUAAUACAGAGGGUGCAAGCGUUAAUCGGAAUUACUGGGCGUAAAGCGCGCGUAGGUGGUUUGUUAAGUUGAAUGUGAAAUCCCCGGGCUCAACCUGGGAACUGCAUCCAAAACUGGCAAGCUAGAGUAUGGUAGAGGGUAGUGGAAUUUCCUGUGUAGCGGUGAAAUGCGUAGAUAUAGGAAGGAACACCAGUGGCGAAGGCGACUACCUGGACUGAUACUGACACUGAGGUGCGAAAGCGUGGGGAGCAAACAGGAUUAGAUACCCUGGUAGUCCACGCCGUAAACGAUGUCAACUAGCCGUUGGGAGUCUUGAACUCUUAGUGGCGCAGCUAACGCAUUAAGUUGACCGCCUGGGGAGUACGGCCGCAAGGUUAAAACUCAAAUGAAUUGACGG